AAGUCGUAACAAGGUUUCCGUAGGUGAACCUGCGGAAGGAUCAUUACCAAAUCCAUCCAAUUACCGACCCACGUGUGAACCGACAAACAGUCUUUGGGAGCUGUGCUCUUUUGUGCGGCUCCCGCAUUUAUUUUGAACCACGUUGUCUUUUGGCAGAGUAAAAACGGACCUUGCUUUUUUGUCUUUUUUCGUCUUUUGGACGGGAAAAAAUGAAGAAAAAAGGAACAAAAACAACUCAAUCAAAAACAACUUUUAACGGUGGAUCUCUUGGCUCGU
rnacentral:misc_RNA from 1 species